rnacentral:rRNA from 1 species
AUUGAACGCUGGCGGCAGGCCUAACACAUGCAAGUCGAGCGAGCGGCGGACGGGUGCGUAAUGUCUGGGGAUCUGCCUGAUCGAGGGCGAUAACUACUGGAAACGGUGGCUAAUACCGCAUACUAUCGGAUGUACCCAUGUGGGAUUAGCUAGUCGGUGGGGUAAAGGCUCACCAAGGCGACGAUCGCUAGCUGGGCUGAGAGGAUGAUCAGCCACACUGGGACUGAGACACGGCCCAGACUCCUACGUGAGGCAGCAGGGGGGAAGAUUGCAAAAUGGGCGCAAGCCUGAUGCAGCCAGGCCGCGUGUAUGAAGAAGGCCUUAGGGUUGUAAAAGACUUUCAGCGGGGAGGCGUUACCCGCAGAAGAAGCACCGGCUAACUCCGUGCCAGCCGCCGCGGUAAUUC